rnacentral:rRNA from 1 species
UACGUAGGUGGCAAGCGUUGUCCGGAUUUACUGGGCGUAAAGAGCGCGCAGGCGGUCGUUCAAGUCGCGUGUGAAAGCCCCCGGCUCAACUGGGGAGGGUCACGCGAUACUGAUCGACUCGAAGGCAGGAGAGGGAAGUGGAAUUCCCGGUGUAGUGGUGAAAUGCGUAGAUAUCGGGAGGAACACCAGUGGCGAAGGCGGGUCUCUGGGCCGAUACUGACGCUGAGACGCGAAAGCGUGGGGAGCAAACAGG